rnacentral:misc_RNA from 1 species
AAGUCGUAACAAGGUUUCCGUAGGUGAACCUGCGGAAGGAUCAUUAACACGUAUCCAACGUUAAACAACCGUGAACCUUCAUGUUUCGUGUCUUACUUUUUAACUUCGAGGGCGUCUGGUAACUCACGUGAACAGAUUGACUCAGACAUUCUUGAAGAAAAAGGGUAAGAUGCUUGUGACGCUUGUGAGUGGGCAACUACAAGCAAGUGAAGGACAAUUUCUUGACUGACAUCGUUGGAUCGAGCCUGCCGUUAAGUGGGUGAGAUUCCUGUUGGUCUUGGAAAUCGGUGCAGCCACACGCUUCAUCGGACCUCAUCUCAGGGAUAAUCCCCCCUUUCUAUUCACCACCCCCUCCUACGCAAACGCUCGCCGGCAUGGUCCCGCUUGAGCAUUCAAAAAACCGAACAACUGUUAACAAUGGAUAUCUUGGUUCUC